rnacentral:rRNA from 1 species
AGAGUUUGAUCCUGGCUCAGAAUCAACGCUGGCGGCGCGCUUAACACAUGCAAGUCGGACGAGAAAGCCGGGGCAACCUGGUGAGUACAGUGGCGUACGGGUGAGUAACACGUGGGUGAUCUACCCUUUAGUGGGGAAUAACGCUGGGAAACCGGCGCUAAUACCGCAUAAACCCGAGAGGGGAAAGCAGCAAUGCGCUGAAGGAGGAGCCCGCGGCCGAUUAGCUGGUUGGUAGGGUAACGGCCUACCAAGGCUGAGAUCGGUAGCCGGCCUGAGAGGGCACACGGCCACACUGGCACUGAAACACGGGCCAGACUCCUACGGGAGGCAGCAGUGGGGAAUCUUGCACAAUGGGGGCAACCCUGAUGCAGCGACGCCGCGUGAGCGAUGAAGCCCUUCGGGGUGUAAAGCUCUUUCGGCAGGGAAGAUGGUGACGGUACCUGCAGAAGCAGCUGCGGCUAACUACGUGCCAGCAGCCGCGGUA